GAUGAACGCUGGCGGCGUGCCUAAUACAUGCAAGUAGAACGCUGAAGGAGGAGCUUGCUCUUCUGGAAGAGUUGCGAACGGGUGAGUAACGCGUAGGUAACCUGCCUCUUAGCGGGGGAUAACUAUUGGAAACGAUAGCUAAUACCGCAUAAAAGUCGACAUUGCAUGAUGUUGACUUGAAAGGUGCAACUGCAUCACUAAGAGAUGGACCUGCGUUGUAUUAGCUAGUUGGUGAGGUAACGGCUCACCAAGGCGACGAUACAUAGCCGACCUGAGAGGGUGAUCGGCCACACUGGGACUGAGACACGGCCCAGACUCCUACGGGAGGCAGCAGUAGGGAAUCUUCGGCAAUGGGGGCAACCCUGACCGAGCAACGCCGCGUGAGUGAAGAAGGUUUUCGGAUCGUAAAGCUCUGUUGUAAGAGAAGAACGAGUGUGAGAGUGGAAAGUUCACGCUGUGACG
rnacentral:rRNA from 1 species